AUAAAGGUGGAGGCAAAAGUCGUUUCAAGAGAUAUUAGUGUUUACGCUAAUUGAAGGACUUCCACAGUUGAAUAUUGUGGUCUGGAAUAGCGAUACUAUCUGUUACGAACGACUCCAUUGGCAGUUCAUUUGCAAAAAUCUUUCUCAAGGCUACAAUGACUGCUUUGGCCACUUCAGACUAAAACUGGCUGGUAUAAUCUUCUUGAUUGAAGAUCAUUACUUCAUGAUUAGCUCAGUUUCAGGAAGUUGCAACAGAAGGCCAUUACUGUUGGGAUUAGGUGCAUUAACUUUGAGUCUAUUCCCUACAAAUUUCCUUUUGCUGCUGUAGGAAGUACAAUGGGGGAUUGCUUCAGGAGAGAACAAAGGGUCAAGGGAGCUGUGGAAAGAUGAGGCCUUGGCGGAAAGGUGUUUGUGUCCUUGAGGAGUGUAUGCACGUCGCUUGUCGGCCCGUGGUCAACUUUAUGGUAGAAGUGCUUUAUGCAUCUUUCGCUUUGGAGAUAUCUGAUUUGGUUUUUAUAUAUCAAAGAUGCAUGGAAGAUGCUACUUGGUAUGGCUGGAGCAAUGAUGCCUGACCAUGAGGAUGUUGAAACCAUUUGAUGUUAAAGCUGCUAGCGAAUACUUUGUAGUUUUCGUUUAAAAAAUUAGAGAUUUUAUAGUUUCAUUAUGAAAUUAAGAGCUUGGAAUUUUUAUAGAUUUUAUAGUGUUAUUGUGAGAAUUCUUUUUCUGAACUUGAUAUUGGUAUAGAACAUAUUAACUUGGUUCUUUUUACUCAGAA